UACGGGGGGGGCUAGCGUUGUUCGGAAUUACUGGGCGUAAAGCGCGUGUAGGCGGGCCGUUAAGUCGGGGGUGAAAGCCCAGAGCUCAACUCUGGAACUGCCUUCGAUACUGGCGGCCUGGAGCAUGAUAGAGGCGAGUGGAAUUGCGAGUGUAGAGGUGAAAUUCGUAGAUAUUCGCAGGAACACCAGUGGCGAAGGCGACUCGCUGGAUCAUUGCUGACGCUGAGACGCGAAAGCGUGGGGAGCAAACAGG
rnacentral:rRNA from 1 species